rnacentral:rRNA from 1 species
UACGGAGGGUGCGAGCGUUGUCCGGAAUCACUGGGCGUAAAGGGCGCGUAGGCGGCUUGGCAAGUCGGGUGUGAAACCUCCAGGCUCAACCUGGAGACGCCACUCGAUACUGCUAUGGCUAGAGUCCGGUAGGGGACCACGGAAUUCCUGGUGUAGCGGUGAAAUGCGCAGAUAUCAGGAGGAACACCGGUGGCGAAGGCGGUGGUCUGGGCCGGCACUGACGCUGAGGAGCGAAAGCGUGGGUAGCAAACAGG